rnacentral:rRNA from 1 species
AGCAGCCGCGGUAAUUCCAGCUCCAAUAGCGUAUAUUAAAGUUGUUGCAGUUAAAAAGCUCGUAGUUGAAUUUCGGGGUCAGUAGGCUGGUCGUGCCACAGGUAUGCACUGGUCUUACUGAUUCCUCCUUCCUGAUGAACCGUAAUGCCAUUAAUUUGGUGUUGCGGGGAAUCUGGACUGUUACUUUGAAAAAAUUAGAGUGUUUAAAGCAGGCUAACGCUUGAAUACAUUAGCAUGGAAUAAUGAAAUAGGACGAUCGAUCCUAUUUUGUUGGUUUCUAGGAUUGACGUAAUGAUUAAUAGGGAUAGUUGGGGGCAUUAGUAUUCAAUUGUCAGAGGUGAAAUUCUUGGAUUUAUUGAAGACUAACUACUGCGAAAGCAUUUGCCAAGGAUGUUUUCAUUAAUCAAGAACGAAAGUUAGGGGAUCGAAGACGAUCAGAUACCGUCGUAGUCUUAACCAUAAACUAUGCCGACUAGGGAUCGGAUGAUGUUAAUUUUUUAAUGUACUCAUUUCGGCG